CACUUGAAAAGCACAUCUGCCAGGUGAUGUCAACGCCUGGCCUGCUCCGUUUCCUGUUGGGUGGUGAACAUGCCAUUCUCUCAUGGCCCUGGAAUGCUGAUUUGGUCCGGGGGCGAAGGCCAAACACAGGGCAGGAAAGGAACUCAGUGGAACUGUGGAACUGUGGGAAAGAGCAUCAUCCAGAUCUCCCCUGGGAACUAAUCUAACCUCACCAAUCCUUAAAGCUUGGAGACUAUCUCCUGCUUGCCUUCAGGGACAGAGAUUGAGGCAGGAACAACGCGGCACACACAGGAUCCUUCUGCAGUACAAGC